rnacentral:lncRNA from 1 species
UCGCAUACAAAUUUCCCAGUGUUAAAUCAUGAAAUUGUAGCACUUAAUGAUGUUAGAAACCAAAAAAAAAAAAAAAAAAAAAAAAAAAAGUUUAGUCUGGCAACAAACCAUCAGCCAAGUACUGCAGGCCUGAAAUUCAUUGUAAAACUAUUGCUUGGGUGUCUUUUUUUAACUCUACCCACAAUAUGUUUGAAAAACCACAACCUGGAGAUUUCUUAUCCUCUCCAUGAACAAACAGGUUGUGUGCUAGGAAAGCAGAAAAGCAGCAGAGCUGCAAUUUGGCACGGGACUUUGGGAAGGCAGGGAUCAAUCCAGACAAGCAGGGCAUGCCAGCAAGAGGCACGAGGUGGUGGGGUUCUCCCUGAUGGAUCUGAUUCUUCUAAUAGAUCAGGAUCCUUCUUGUAAUUUCCAGCCCAUGUUUUUUCAAGUCCUCCUUCCAUUCCACAACUAUGCUGUCCCACAGACCAAACCUCCCUGAGGCCUGUUCCCUCAAUGUGUGUUUGCAGUGAGCAUACCUCCUCUCGAUCCAUAUUACCAGGCUGAGCACAGACUCUUUGUUUUCUUGCUUCUCCUUCCCACAAAUAGCCAUAAUAGCAACUGAGGUUCACAGGCAUCCUUUCUGGACACCGGUGAGCAGACGUGUGCGUUUGCAGUCCAGAGGUUGGGGAUGAAUUUGAGGGUUGUCUGGAAGGUCACUGCUGUCAGCAUAAUAGUCAUGCUUGAAGGACUCUGGCACCUGAAGUAGAAAGUGAAGUACAAAGUGAUUCACUGUCCCGUUCUUCUUGACACAAAUAGAUAAAUUACCUGAAGAUGAUUUCAGAUGCAGCCAGGGAAAGGCUUAAACAGGACAGCCACUCCUGAGAGCAUGGGACAGGAUGGGCUGGAAGCAGAAGUCUCAUCACACAGUGCUCCACCACCACCUGCGUCUGUGUGCUCGUCCCCUGUGUGCCUCUGGGGCCCCGACCUCCCCGGGAGAGAAGUUUAGGUGCCUCCAUCCAUCCUGUCUUGGUGAAGAUCUGGAUGUGACAAAAGGAUUCAACACAAAACAAGCUUCAGAGCAGAUGGCUUUUACAUCCUUCAAAUGCCUUAAUGGUGACGGCAGGGAAAUGCAGAUCCAUUUUCACAAGAACAAAAACAAAAAAACUGUCCUGAGGACUUCCACACUUACCUAAAACAAAACACCGAAAGCACAAAGACCUCAGAAAGGACUUUGCAGAGAACCUGCGUAAGAGACCUGAACCCUGGGAGAAAGAGGGUUGUUUUGGAUGCUCUCUUACAAAGCUUUCAUCGGAUUAAUUUCUUUUACUUGCUCGUGAAGGCUAGGAGCUGGAGGACUAUCAUCUUUAUUUCUCAAAGAAUAAAAAGCCUUCAGAAAAUGUUAAAGUUUUCUGU